UACGAGGGGUGCAAGCGUUGCUCGGAAUUAUUGGGCGUAAAGGGUAGGUAGGUGGUCUCAUUUGUCUGGGGUGAAAGCCUCGAGCUUAACUCGAGAAGUGCCCCAGAAACGGUGAGACUUGAGUCUUGGAGAGGGUUGCGGAAUUCCCGGUGUAGCGGUGAAAUGCGUACAGAUCGGGAGGAACACCAGAGGCGAAGGCGGCAACCUGGACAAGCACUGACACUCAACUACGAAAGCGUGGGGAGCAAACAGG
rnacentral:rRNA from 1 species